rnacentral:rRNA from 1 species
UACGUAGGGCGCAAGCGUUAUCCGGAAUUAUUGGGCGUAAAGAGCUCGUAGGCGGUUUGUCGCGUCUGCCGUGAAAGUCCGGGGCUCAACUCCGGAUCUGCGGUGGGUACGGGCAGACUAGAGUGAUGUAGGGGAGACUGGAAUUCCUGGUGUAGCGGUGAAAUGCGUAGAUAUCUGGAGGAACACCGGUGGCGAAGGCGGCAUCCUGGACCGAUACUGACGCUGAGGAGCGAAAGCCAGGGGAGCAAACGGG